rnacentral:rRNA from 1 species
CAGCCGCCACGGGAAUACGGAGGGUGCAAGCGUUAUCCGGAUUUAUUGGGUUUAAAGGGUCCGUAGGCGGAUCUGUAAGUCAGUGGUGAAAUCUCACAGCUUAACUGUGAAACUGCCAUUGAUACUGCAGGUCUUGAGUAAAUUUGAAGUGGCUGGAAUAAGUAGUGUAGCGGUGAAUUGCAUAGAUAUUACUUAGAACACCAAUUGCGAAGGCAGGUCACUAAGAUUUAACUGACGCUGAUGGACGAAAGCGUGGGGAGCGAACAGGAUUAGAUACCCCAGUAGUCCCUGUCUCUUAUAC